ACAGACGGAAGGAAGGAGGGCGACGAGAAGCCGCUGGGGCGGGAGCGAGGCCGUGGUGUGGCGUGAGAGCGGCGCGAAGCCGCGAGCAAGAAGCGGCGGCGGGCACCGGGCUGGGGGCGCGCACCGACACGCGGGCAGAUGCCACGUUUCCUGCCUCUGGAAAAGCCCGCUUCCUCACAAUAGGAAGACUGUUAACAAAAAGGCUUUCGCCCAGCCGCUGCGUUCGAGAAAAUCCGGCUUAAUAGACUCUUCAUCUCAUUGGCUCAUUUCUCUUGACCGCCUGAAGACCAUCGUGUUUUCACAAGGUGUCAGGAUCCCCAGAGUGAGGACCUGCCUCCAUAUCUCCUCUUGGAUACUAGGCCAAUCAUUGGCAUUAAGGAACAGCUUAAACCAUCUGGUGAUGUGCUGGGCCUGGUAAGAGAAUAACCGGACCAUACCCCAAAGGUGCUGCAAGACCUACCCAGCAUAUACUGGCAGGAGCCAGACAGCAUGUGUGGGAUUGGAUUCUGAGGGUACCAGAUCAAGAGGGCCAAAACAUAAAAUU